rnacentral:lncRNA from 1 species
UUCAGGGGUGUAAAUUCGGGAUUGAUUUGGAGACCGGCCGCCGGCACCAGCGAUUUUUGACCGGCGACGGUGAGGCGGAGGGUGGCAGAGGAUAAGUAUGAGGAGGAUGACAUGCUCUCUAGGGUUUGAGAUAUAUUCAGAAACUUUUAUUUAAAAUCGAGGACGAAUCUGGGCCGUUGGAUGAUAAGGAAUGGACGGUCAAGAUGAACUAAGCGCCAAAACGGCGUCAUUUUAUACGUUAUAAGGUUGGACCAGGUGUGGGGUGUUUGGGCUUGGAAUUUGCUGGGUUUGAGAGUUUGGGCUGGUGAUUUUUAUCCAAUACUGGCCCAAUUUCCUUCUUUUGUUUUUUUUCUAAUUAAUUCUUCAAAUACAAAAUCAAAUACCAAACCAUAUUUAAAUUCUAUAAUUAAAAUUAGUUAAUUUCUAACUAAAACCUAAAUCCUAGUUUUAAAAAGAAAACUAAGCAGAUUUAAACCUGACUACUCUCUUUUUUGUUAUUUCUCCUAUUUUUAUAAUGCCAAAUACUAAUAAUCCUAAGAUAAAAAUGCAAAAAUUGGAUCCUAAAUGCAAGCGUACUAUUUUUUUGUCUUUUUUAUGAAUUAUGUUAAUUAAAAAUGCCCAAAAAUGCAAACAAACACUAAAAUCAUACAAUUAAUUUCCUGAACAUUCAAAUGAUAAAAGCAAAAUCCUAAUUAAAUGAAUUCUAUACGAAUAUUGCAAGCGAGGCAAAAAUCACAUGCUCACACUAGGUGGCAGAAAUCCUAAAAUAGUACUAAUCCAUUAAAGUUCCUAGAUAUCUUUGAGUUUUCCCUUAGUUAAAAAAUCCUUAUGUUACAAAAAUGAAGAUGGGCUAAGCUUAGUUGGUAUUCAGGAAUUUGGGGGUCAGCUUGAUGUGGAUUUUGAUGGUUUUUUCCCAUUGAUGUACUGUUGGCUCUAAUUUUGGGUUUGAAGUUGGUCUUCCUUAUUCAUUUCUGGGCUUAUUUGUGUUUGCUAGACACGGAUUCUUGCUUUUGCUACUUGCCACUCACUUACUCCUUAUUUUGGGUUUUGUUUUUGAACUCCAGGUACAUGUUCUGGACCUCCCUGAUGUUGCUCAAACUGGAAAUAAAAUAAGAGUUGUGCAUGUUUUCUUUAUGUGUUGAUUCAUGUUCAUUUGGUUCAUUGAUUAG